rnacentral:lncRNA from 1 species
UUUAAUGAAAAUAUUCAUCAUUUAAUUCCUUGGAAUGAUGAUACAAACCGUGAAAGAAACUAAAAUAAAAGAAUGAUAAAAAACCCUAAAAAGAAGUUGUGUAGCCCCUAAUAUCUUCCAAGGAUGUAUAAAAGUUAGUAAAAAAACAUGAAUAAUGUCCUAUUUAUAGUGGAAGAAAUAGCCCAUGCCUUGUUGAACAAGGAAAUAGUUUCUGGUCGUCUGCGAACCCAGUGACACGCUGGUCACUGUUUUAGGUGCCUUAUAAAUCCAUUAAUGUGUUUCAUGUGCCAAGAAUCUUUCUCACACGUCCACACUCUCCCAAUACUUUUCAGGUAUCCAAAUUAGCAUUUAGCUGCAUUUUGUGCUUCCAUGAUCCAUUCCAAUCCUUUUGAGUUAUUUCCACUUAAUUUGAAGCUUGUAAUUCCUUCAUAUAUCAUCUUCCAUUAAAAAAGCACCCUAUAGAAUUAAACACAAAAAUUUAGAGCUCAAAAUAACACAACAUCCUCAACAAUGAACUAGAAACAUGAGCUAAUCAUAUGCUAAAUUCACAUUGAGGUUUAACUUAUGUUUUGACUCUUUUCUUGAUUCAAUUGACCCUUGAACAUUAUAAAUAAGUUUUUUCACAUAUAAAUAUGUAAUAACAACCUUAUUAACUCAGUGAAACACAUCAGAACCCAACACAAUAGACUAUAAAAAGACCUAGCUCAAGAUAGUUACACUAGUUUUCUCGGUUGAACUCUAAAUGCUCAAAUUGUAUCAAAACUUAUGUGAAUCAACCAUUAAAUAUUUUAAACACAUUCUUGGACAGAUAAAUGCUCGUUUAUAUUAUUUUUAAUGCAUAUAGCAUAAGAAUACCCCUCAAAAUAAGGCUAAAUAAGCCAGAAUAGUAGUGCUACAAUGCAUAAAUAUACCCAACAUCAUGUUGACACAAUCUCCUAUUUUGUUGAUUAAUACCUAUGAGUAAUAAAUUACAGACCUUUAUUAGUAUUAUCAUACCCAAAAGUAUGCUAUAUUGAUCAAAAAACUCAUGUGGUAGUGUUAUAGAAGGUUCUGGGGUGAUAAAUGGUUAUGAAGUAAUUUUGGUUUCUGGAAACAUUGAUCUUAGGUAUGGUGAUCGCGGUGCGACAAUCACGGUCAUCGAGACCAUGAUAACGGUAUUUGAGACCAUAGUCAACAUUCUGUAUAUCACUCACAACAAAUUAUUUAACUAUAACUUUAUGUUCUCACUAGGCAAAUAAACAUCAUAAUUAGAGAACUUAAGCCUAGGAUAUGUUAUAAUAGCCCCAAACUCAAAGAAUUCACAUUGAACUCAUUGUGGAAUUGAAUCAAACACAUGGUUUACAUGUCUAGGUCUACAAUUUUAGGCCUAAUACUUGGUACUCAUGACUUUCCCAUUGGUGUGUACACUAACUACAAUAGCUAAUCACUGCAAUUCUCAUAAUCAAAUAUGCCUUUUGUGUUAAAAAUAAUACUUUAGGGCUUUACCUAAUCUACAAGUUCUGAGCAUAAAAUUUUAUUAAAAAUAAGGGAAUUGAGACAACAUACCAUGUUUGAUGAUGCAUGUGGAUUGAAAUAACACUUGGAUACUCAACAUAAUGCCAAAAAUCUUGAGAGAAUUUAAGAGAAUUUAUAAAAGGAGUAUGUUAGGAAAUGGAAGUAGGAUAGUCAUUAAAGCUGAUUUAAUCAUGAUCGUGGUCCUAGUUUCGUGAUUAGAGAAACCUGACCACCGUCAUUGCAUUAGCAUAGACCACAAUCGCGGUAACUGACAAAAAAAUUUAGGUUCUCUACACUCCCUUGUUUAGGCUAAACAUGCCAAUUUCACACAUUCCAUUUUUCAACUUCAAUAUACAUUCGUCAUAGCUCCACCUUUUGAUGGAUUAUGCAUGAUCAAAUGAAAAAUAAAAUUAGAUCUAUCAUUCAUGAAUAAAAGGAUACAUACCAUUUAUUGUGGCGUGAUAGGGUGCCUCCCAUUGAGCACUUAGUUUAACGUCUUAGCACGAGGCCUCCUCUACUUGCUUUUAUGCUUCAACUUAGAAGAUUUAAAUCUCCGUCCGAACUUUCUUCGCUAGGAUAUGAGCGACAGUGGGAUGGAAGAUUCGGAUCUUCCAAGAUAAAACUUGGAAGAUGUGAAGAAAUGAUGAAAAAGUUUUGAUCUCACCAUUUUGAAUACUUGAACCUUUUACCCAAUUUAACAUUGACUUUUUGGUUUGGAUCCUUGGUUAAAAGUGAGGAUAUCAAUAGGACACUAGUUUCACAUCAGAAUUUUAAAUCAUUAGCCAUUGAUGGUAGGUCUUCUAUAUAAUGUUUUGGAGUGUCAAGAUAAUUCCUCAUCUUUUUUUCUCUUCAUGCUCUCAAAAUGGUGCAAAAAUGUUGACGGGAAUGAUGGAAAAUCUGGUGAAGAAAGGGGACUUAACAUCCAAAGUGGUUACUUGUCCUCUUGAGAAACUACCACUUAUGAUGUACAAGACCACUAAAGCAAUCCUAAAUAAGGGUAUGGGUACUGGUAACAUGGUCUUCUGUCCUCCAAAGUGGUGCCCCUCAAGUGACCCCGUUAUCGCUAAAGUUAUCCUUAGCCAAAUGGCAAAGCAGUGUAAAGCUACUCAUGGGCGCUAAAAUUCUUGUUGCAAAAUCGGCACCAUGACUUCUAAAGCUCUCACACUAGAUAUAAGGGACCAAAUUUUUGCUAUGUAAAAAAAUAAACUUUGAACAGGUGCUUGAGAUUCAUUCACAACCCUAUGUGAGGUAAUGAACUAUUCUACCAUACCAAAUUUGACUAUCUUGAGUCAAUAGAACCAUAAAAAAUUUCAUUUGAGGUCUUUUAGACUAAAUUUGGGCCUCACACCUAUAGUUCUAUUUUGCAUAUAAUCUAUCCAAAAUCCAAAAGUUAAGCCAAAAGCCUCAGGACCUAAGUAAAUGGUCCCUUUAAACUUAAAUCAAUAUUUUAAGGCUGAUGACACUGUCAAAAUUCUCAUUCAAAGUCACUUAUUAGGUGUUCUGGUCCGACACCAAUUCCACAAUAACGAAAGCUCCAAAAUAAGAAAGUGAUCCUGAAAUACAAAUUAAUAAUCUGAUAACCAAAUUGAUUAUUUCGACAUGUUUCAAAUAACCUUUAUUCACUGUGAGAAAGCUCAAACAUUGAAAAUGAAUUGGAAUUGAAGAAGUAACCUAGAGGGUCAUUACCUUGCUUAAGCAACACAUGGGGACUACUGAAUACCUUUCUCCACCAAAAAUUCCCAUUUGUUUUUCACUAUUUUUUGACUUUUGAGAGCCUAAAGAGAGGAAAAGGUGGAUUAUCAUCCAUUGAAGUUAAGGUAACUAGACUAACAUUCC